rnacentral:misc_RNA from 1 species
GAGGACAUCUGCAAUCCUUAUGGUUCAUAAGGCAAGAAAGAAUGGACUACCCUUUUGGAAUAAGUUGCGGCAGUCUGAUACCAACCAAGUCGUUGUUGCCUUUGAGGCUUUCAGGCAGCUGAACCGUGUGUUUAUUCGUCCAAUGACAGCAAUCUCGGCAAUGCAUGACAUGCAUGAGGAUAUCUGCACCAGUGCUGAAAGGAAAAGGGCUGCA